rnacentral:rRNA from 1 species
AGAGUUUGAUCCUGGCUCAGGAUGAACGCUGACAGAAUGCUUAACACAUGCAAGUCUACUUGAACUUCGGUUUGGGUGGCGGACGGGUGAGUAACGCGUAAAGAACUUGCCUCACAGUUAGGGACAACAUUUGGAAACGAAUGCUAAUACCUGAUAUUAUGAUUUUAGGGCAUCCUAAGAUUAUGAAAGCUAUAUGCGCUGUGAGAGAGCUUUGCGUCCCAUUAGCUAGUUGGAGAGGUAACGGCUCACCAAGGCGAUGAUGGGUAGCCGGCCUGAGAGGGUGAACGGCCACAAGGGGACUGAGACACGGCCCUUACUCCUACGGGAGGCAGCAGUGGGGAAUAUUGGACAAUGGACCAAAAGUCUGAUCCAGCAAUUCUGUGUGCACGAUGACGUUUUUCGGAAUGUAAAGUGCUUUCAGUUGGGAAGAAAAAAAUGACGGUACCAACAGAAGAAGUGACGGCUAAAUACGUGCCAGCAGCCGCGGUAAUACGUAUGUCACAAGCGUUAUCCGGAUUUAUUGGGCGUAAAGCGCGUCUAGGUGGUUAUGUAAGUCUGAUGUGAAAAUGCAGGGCUCAACUCUGUAUUGCGUUGGAAACUGCAUGACUAGAGUACUGGAGAGGUAAGCGGAACUACAAGUGUAGAGGUGAAAUUCGUAGAUAUUUGUAGGAAUGCCGAUGGGGAAGCCAGCUUACUGGACAGAUACUGACGCUAAAGCGCGAAAGCGUGGGUAGCAAACAGGAUUAGAUACCCUGGUAGUCCACGCCGUAAACGAUGAGUGCUAAGUGUUGGUCUCAUAAGAGAUCAGUGCUGCAGCUAACGCAUUAAGCACUCCGCCUGGGGAGUACGACCGCAAGGUUGAAAC